rnacentral:tRNA from 1 species
GCAUUGGUGAUUCAGUGGUAGUAUUCUCACCUGCCACGCGGGAGACCCGGGUCCGAUUCCCGGCCAAUGCA